GAAUGAGGCUGGGAGAUGGAAGUUCACCAGGGGAAUUAUCCGUAAUAUUCAAUUUCUAGGUCGUUGAGCUUUUGGCAGUCUUUCAUUUUCACCCCAGGCAAAUUCAGUGAUUGCUUUUAAGAAUUCUUGGUUCCAGUACAGUGCUAAGCUUGGUCACAUGCCUGUCAACAUACCAUCCCACCCCACACUCUUUGGAAAUUUAACAAUGUUAACCUCAGAUAUGAGGAUAGAUGAGAGAGGUCAAGCUGUUUUUCUUCACAAAGUGAAAGCUCAGAAGAGAUUUGAUGAAAUGUUCAAGAUUGUGAGGGGUCUGGACAGAGUCAAGGGAGAACAUGUUGCAACUCGUGAAAGAAUCGAGAAUGAGAGACAGAUUUAAGACAAUCGUCAAAUGAAGCAACAAACUCUAGCUUUUUCAUGCGCCGAACCAGGAUCCGGAAUACACUGUCUGAGGAGCCUGGUGGAUGCUGAUUUAAUCAAAUCAUUCAAGAUGAAAUUGGCUCAUUACAUGGAGAAAACAUUUGCAGAGCUACUGGGGAAAUAUGGAAUUGAGACAAGACUCAGCAAAGAAAGUCCAGGAAGCUUGUUGUGGUACUGAGUGACACAGAGCAUGAAACAUCCUGGACCCAAAUUGAGACUUUCUGUUACCUCUUCAAAACACUCCAGCAAGUUAAUUAAACAUGAUUUCCUCUGUAGAAAUCUAUGCUGACUCUUCCUAAUCAACACAGUUUUAUUCUGUGGACAACAUAUCUACCCUGAAUAAUUGUUUUUGGAUGUUUCCCCUUCAUUGAGUUUUGUCUUCAGUAAUUUCUUCCUUACAACCUACCCUUGUAACCUUACUCAAUCUGUUCUAAUGCCUCUUGUUAGGUCACCUUCACAUUCUCUUUUUUUCUUCGAAUUUUCUUGGUCGUGUUGUUUAUUGUAACAUUCUCCCAAUCCAGAGCUUUAUUAAUUCUUUUGACAAUGUAAAUGGGCCUCUUCCUUGAUUCUAACAUUACCUUUAACUCAGUUUGUAAACCACAAUUGAACCACAUUUUUCACUGGAUUUGUAUUUCAUAAAGGUGUGUAUAUUUGUUGCAGUUUAAUGAACUAACCCGUGAAAACAG